rnacentral:rRNA from 1 species
GAUGAACGCUGGCGGCGUGCCUAAUACAUGCAAGUCGAGCGAAUGGAUUAAGAGCUUGCUCUUAUGAAGUUAGCGGCGGACGGGUGAGUAACACGUGGGUAACCUGCCCAUAAGACUGGGAUAACUCCGGGAAACCGGGGCUAAUACCGGAUAACAUUUUGAAGCGCAUGGUUCGAAAUUGAAAGGCGGCUUCGGCUGUCACUUAUGGAUGGACCCGCGUCGCAUUAGCUAGUUGGUGAGGUAACGGCUCACCAAGGCAACGAUGCGUAGCCGACCUGAGAGGGUGAUCGGCCACACUGGGACUGAGACACGGCCCAGACUCCUACGGGAGGCAGCAGUAGGGAAUCUUCCGCAAUGGACGAAAGUCUGACGGAGCAACGCCGCGUGAGUGAUGAAGGCUUUUGGGUCGUAAAACUCUGUUGUUAGGGAAGAACAAGUGCUAGUUGAAUAAGCUGGCACCUUGACGGUACCUAACCAGAAAGCCACGGCUAACUACGUGCCAGCCGCCGCCGUAA